rnacentral:lncRNA from 1 species
AUGGCUGCUGACGUUUCCGAUUCCAAUAGGGCUGACUGCAAAGGAGACCCAAGGAACAGAGCCAAGUUAGAUGCUGAUUACCUACUUUGAGUCCUUUAUUGUGGAGUCUGUUCAUUACCAAUAGAGUACUGUGAAUAUAUGCCUGAUGUUGCUAAAUGUAGACAAUGAUUAGAGAAGAAUUUUCCAAAUGAAUAUGCAAAACUUACUGUGGAAAAUUCACCCAAACAAGAAGCUGGAAUCUGUCAAGGUCAAGGAACAGCAGGGGAAGAAGAGGAGAAGAAAAAACAGAAGAGAGGUGGAAGGGGUCAAAUAAAACAAAAAAACAAAGACGGUACCACAAAAGGUUACUAUAGCCAAAAUUCCCAGAGCAAAGAAAUAUGUGACAAGGGUUGUGGCCUUGUAACUUUUGAAAUUGAUCUUAAAUCACACAAAGAUUUUUUGCUCAAAAAUUCUCCUGUGGUGCCUCAGUAACAGAGGAGGAUGAAAUUAUCAUUCAAGGAGACUUUACAGAUGACAUAAUUGAGGUCAUUCAGGAAAAACAGACAGAAGUAGAUGAUGACAGCAUCGAAGAUCUUGGA